rnacentral:tRNA from 1 species
GUCCGGGUGGCGGAAUUGGUAGACGCGCUAGAUUUAGGAUCUAGAGUCGAAAGACACUUGAGGGUUCGAUUCCCUCCUCGGAUACA